rnacentral:rRNA from 1 species
AGGAUCAUUACCGAAUUGUCAAACGGGUUGUUGCUGGUCUUCAAACGGGGACAUGUGCACGCUCUGUUUACACAUCCACUCACACCUGUGCACCCUCCGUAGUUCUAUGGUCUGGGGGACCCUGUCUUCCUGCCGUGGUUCUACGUCUUUACACACACUCUGUAAUAAAGUCUUAUGGAAUGUAUGCCGCGUCUAACGCAAUACAAUACAACUUUCAGCAACGGAUCUCUUGGCUCUCGCAUCGAUGAAGAACGCAGCGAAAUGCGAUAAGUAAUGUGAAUUGCAGAAUUCAGUGAAUCAUCGAAUCUUUGAACGCACCUUGCGCCCCUUGGCUAUUCCGAGGGGCAUGCCUGUUUGAGUAUCAUGAACACCUCAACUCUCAUGGUUCGCCAUGAUGAGCUUGGACUCUGGGGGUUUUGCUGGCCUGCGGUCGGCUCCCCUCAAAUGAAUCAGCCUCCCAGUGUUUGGUGGCAUCACGGGUGUGAUAAAUAUCUACGCUCGCGGUUGUCUGCCAKGUAACCUUUGGUGACAAAGGUUUGCUGGAGCUCACAGAUGUCUCUCCUCGGCGA